rnacentral:rRNA from 1 species
AGGGUUCGAUCAUGGCUCAGAACGAACGCUGGCGGUGUGCUUAACACAUGCAAGUCGAACGAGAAAGUUUCCUUCGGGGAGCUAGUAAAGUGGCGCAAGGGUGAGUAACACGUGAAUAAUCUGCCCUCGAGAUCGGGAUAACUUGGCGAAAGCUAAGCUAAUACCGGAUAAGACCACAUUUCAUAAGAAAUGCGGAAAAAGGAGUCUCAACCUUCACUCGAGGAUGAGUUCGCGGACCAUUAGCUUGUUGGUGAGAUAAAAGCUCACCAAGGCUACGAUGGAUAGCCGGCCUGAGAGGGUGAUCGGCCACACUGGAACUGAGACACGGUCCAGACCCCUACGGGAGGCAGCAGUGGGGAAUAUUGCGCAAUGGGCGAAAGCCUGACGCAGCAACACCGUGUGAGCGAUGAAGGCUUUAGGGUCGUAAAGCUCUGUCAAAUGGGAAGAAUUCUGACGGUACCAUUAGAGGAAGCCCCGGCUAACUCCGUGCCAGCCGCCGCGGUAAUUC